UUGCUCCUGGAUUCAGCGGCGGACGGGUGAGUAAUGCCUAGGAAUCUGCCUGGUAGUGGGGGAUAACGUCCGGAAACGGGCGCUAAUACCGCAUACGUCCUGAGGGAGAAGGUGGGGGAUCUUCGGACCUCACGCUAUCAGAUGAGCCUAGGUCGGAUUAGCUAGUUGGUGGGGUAAAGGCCUACCAAGGCGACGAUCCGUAACUGGUCUGAGAGGAUGAUCAGUCACACUGGAACUGAGACACGGUCCAGACUCCUACGGGAGGCAGCAGUGGGGAAUAUUGGACAAUGGGCGAAAGCCUGAUCCAGCCAUGCCGCGUGUGUGAAGAAGGUCUUCGGAUUGUAAAGCACUUUAAGUUGGGAGGAAGGGCAGUAAGUUAAUACCUUGCUGUUUUGACGUUACCAACAGAAUAAGCACCGGCUAACUUCGUGCCAGCAGCCGCGGUAAUACGAAGGGUGCAAGCGUUAAUCGGAAUUACUGGGCGUAAAGCGCGCGUAGGUGGUUCAGCAAGUUGGAUGUGAAAUCCCCGGGCUCAACCUGGGAACUGCAUCCAAAACUACUGAGCUAGAGUACGGUAGAGGGUGGUGGAAUUUCCUGUGUAGCGGUGAAAUGCGUAGAUAUAGGAAGGAACACCAGUGGCGAAG
rnacentral:rRNA from 1 species